UACGGAGGGUGCAAGCGUUAUCCGGAUUUACUGGGUUUAAAGGGUGUGUAGGCGGGCAUUUAAGUCUGGGGUGAAAUCUCCGAGCUCAACUCGGAAACUGCCUUGGAUACUAUUUGUCUUGAAUUAUGUUGAGGUUGGCGGAAUAUAACAUGUAGCGGUGAAAUGCAUAGAUAUGUUAUAGAACACCGAUUGCGAAGGCAGCUAACUAAGCAUAUAUUGACGCUGAGGCACGAAAAGCGUGGGGGAUCAAAACAGG
rnacentral:rRNA from 1 species